CAGUUACUGCCUGUGUUCUCUAACCAGUUCCAAACUCUUUCAAAAGGUGUGUUCCAAGCUGACUGCAGAUUGGUGCUCCAUGUUUUAGGAAGUCACAGCAUAGGAGCGGAGCCACGGGUACUCCACGUGUUUACGGGGCUACGGGGCCAAGAACAGGCCCGCACCGGGAGGAUCAGCGUGCGAGGACACUCUCACCUUUCAGGCUCUGUGGCUUUGGUCCUCACACAGGGACGCCUCUGUCGUCAGGUGCGCGAGGGAAGGUCGAGGGACAGGCUGGCCAGCGAAGCAUCCCAUCCCAUCAGCCUUUCGCAGGCCGUGACUCUUGGCCAUGAUAACCUGGUCGGGAAAUGGCCUUCUGACUACACUCGCCUGUCCAUGUUGUGUGACCAGGAGUGUGAGGUGACACACCAGCGCUCGCCAGCAGUUCUCACAUGGUGCUCCCUUUGUCAACUACCAGGGCCGCUUCCAGGGCCAGGCCAGGAGCUGUCCUUGCUCAGCCUUCAUCCCAUGUUUGUGAUCCACUCGACCUCCUUGGCUCCUGAUGAGGGGUUUUUACCUCUGGUAGAUGAGUAUGCAGAGGGAAAGACAGUCCUUUGCCUCUACCUUUUUGUACUGCCCAAAAUGAUAAAUCUUCAGAAAUUUUGUUCAACAGCUUUUCUCCUGUGGGAAAACAUGGCAAGAAAUGAUAAACACUAGGCAGGCUGUUCUCACGUCCUAACCAAGGGCUCCCGAGUUCUGCAGGCCCCUCCUCUGUCCUGACUCUGCUUUGAUUUUCUCAGGACGAGUGGCCCCCUGCCCACAUCUCUUCCUAUUACCUCCGGAAGCCUGUGUGAGCCACCUGCCUCACACCCGUGUGACCCUUUAUCAAAGCCUGGUAUUGACGUACAGAGAGAACAAUGCCUAUCAGCCUUAUUCUAUGAAGGGCAGAAUCGCAGGAGAGGGCCUAGAUUCUGAGAGAACACAGAUCUAGUCAUCUGAACAUCGACUGAAGGCUUGCUGUAUGCCAGAGCAGGCUGGAGACAGCCAGACCAAUAGGACAAAGCCUGUUUUUCUCUCUAGACAUUUUAGAUUGGUGGAUAAUAAGUUAAAAACGAACCGUGUGCUGAGGUGGCAUAUUGGAGUUAGAUAGUCCAGAGAAUAGGAGCCUGGAACCAAGGAGGGCAGCAUAGCUCUGCUCAAAUACUGCAGAGUAGUGCUGGUGAGCACUGCUGCCGUGGGGUCAGGAGAGAACGAGACCCUGACAGAGAGAGAAGAUUCACUUUGACUCUGCUUCCUGGGGUAGAGGCCUUUCUGACAGUCACGUGGCCUGGCUGCAGCUGGUGCCAGUGUGGCAUGGCGGCCUUCAUCCCUGAAGGGCAGACGGGGCUCCCUGGGCCGACACAGGGAUGGCAGGGGCUGUGGACUUCAGUGAUCUACAACUUCAUGGUCUGGAUUUUCAGAACUAGCACCUGAACGGGAAACUUCCCCAGCUCAGAGGUAAUUUCUCACCUGUGAUUUCUACUCCAGUCCAUUUACUUUAACGUCUGCCCUCUGAAAGCAGCACUUUCAUUAAGGCAUGGAAAAUCAUUCCCAGGAAUGCGUUUUCAUCUUAACUCUGCCUGCCUGCCCUCCCUCUGGUAAGUAAUCUUGCUUCUUUCAUUGUUUUCUUUUCAACAAUCAGUCUGAAUUUCCACUCAGGCCUUUUGCAAUGUUCUCAUCAGUAUUUUUUGCAGCUGUUAGAUUACCCCCAAUCCCUAGGCUUCACUAGGCAGAAUAUUGAUAAAUAUUUUUAUUGCAAAGCUAUAUUCCCCAAACCUCAAUGACUUUGCAAAGCACAUUUAAUCAGAAGUGAGGACUUUGAGCUUUUAGUAAAUAUGAAUGUUUACUUUUUCUUGCUGCUACUUAGAAUUUUACUGAUUACACUUUGGACUGCAUAAUUGUGGAAUUAAUCUUGAGAAUGUCAGAAUACAUAUAUUUAAAAGUAAUUUUCUUAGGGAAAUAAUACAUAUCUCAGUGUUUUUCACUGUAAUUGGUAUUCAUGGUCCCUUCAUUUAUAGGUAUAAAGCUUGGCAGAGAUGGCCAAUAUUGGUGCCAUAUAUUAAUAAAAUGGAUUAAUUUUUCCAACACAACUUCCAUUCAAUUUCUCAUUAAACUAAGCAUUGUAAAUUCUGCUGUCAACAGAUACAAAUAACAUGAUUAUGCAAUAUUUGGAUUACUCAAAAUUCUCCCAGCUAGCAUAGUUAUCUGCCAUGCACACAAAUCCAUCCUGGAAGAGCACGUCAAGGUGCAGUUUUCCCAUCAGAUCGGAACCAGCCGCAGUCCAAAUCUUUGCUAUGCACAUGCUUUCAAAAGUAGAAUUUUGGGAUCACUCAACUGGGAGUUGCAUCCAGGGAGAGACUUAAAAGAUAAAUUUGAAUUUGCCAUAUUUCUGAAAAAGUUUUCACCUCUUCAAAGAGCAGCAUCAUUUGUCUAACACUGAUGUGAGAAAAUGAACAGAUGAAUGGAUGGGAAUGGCCAAGGGAAGAUUGGGUAAAGUGCAGUGAAAGGGCGUCUGCCAGAGGCUUCCUCAUGUUGCCCACCCUACUGCUGCAUGUGAAGGACCUGCUGUCCACAGAGAGGGCUGGCUCUGCGCCACGCCCGAGUCUGCUCCAGUUUGCCCAAUUUGACAGCUUCUUGACUUUGUUUUUCAAAUUUUCACUUCUGAAGAGUUCUCAUCAGGUAUUUUGCAAAAUAUCUCUCAACUGGCCUUGAGAGAUUUAACCAUCAUUUUACUUCUUGAGAAGAAUACCUCAGUGGUGAAGAAUUCUGCUCUUCACAUAUCAAGCAUCUGACAUAGUACUGAAGAUGGUGACUUCGAUGACUUAGUUAAAGAGGCAUCUACUGGGUUUUCAGUGGCUGUAACUGUGAAGUUACUCUUUUUCCUUCUGUGCUGUAAUCACUGGGCACAAGUCACCAGGUCCUGACUCCAUCAAAGAAACCCACUUACUGUGAUUUUCUUUUACUUUUCAGUGCAUGGUAAUAUUCUGAUGAUGGGUUCACUUUGGAAGCUGGCACAUGCAUUUGAGAUCUUAUCCAGGUUCAAUAGCAUUACUCCAUCCCCUUUUCUUCCCCUUUCUAGCUUGUACCAAUCCCUAACAGUUUAAGUCUUGGCUUCAUACCCAUUUAUUGAUUUAUUUGGUUUCUUCUACAAGAUAAAAAAAUGUAAUAUUUGCAUUUCUGAGCUAGACUAAUUUCAUUCCACAUGAUGGUCUUCAGUUCCAUCUGUUUUCCUGUAAAUUACAUGAUUUCGUUCUUCAUGGUUGAGUAAUGUUCCAGUAUGCAUAUGUACUACGUUUUCUAUAUCCAUUCAUCUGUUGACUGGCAUCUUGGCUGUUCCUAAAGCUUAACUACUGUGAACUGUGCUGCUAGAAACCUGGGUAUGCAUGUAUAGAUGCAACAUAGAUUCCUUAAUCCUUUCAGGAAUAUGCCCACGAGCAGUAUAGACGGGUCAAAUGGUGUUUCUCUGUUUAGUCUUUUGAGGAAUCUCCAUACUGAUUUUCAUGAUGUUUGUUCUGGUUUAUGUCUCCACCAACAAUGCAGGGGGAUUUUUUUCCUGCCAAUAUUCAUUGAUUUUGUUUGUUUGUUUUGUUUUUGUAUUCUUGAUGGUAGCUCUGCUGAAGAGUAAGGUGGAAUCUCAAUAUAGUUGCAUUUUGCUGAUAACUGAAGAUGUUGACACCUUUUUGAACAGUUCUUGGCCAGUUCACCUUCUUCUUUUGGGUAGUAUCUAUUCAGUUCACUUCCCUGCUUGUUGGUUGGAUUCUUUCUUUUAAGGAGAAUAAUUUAAAAAUUCUUUAUAUAUUCUAAAUAUUAAUCCUUCAUCAGAAGAGUAGCUAGAAAAGAUGUUCACCCAUUUGGUGGGCGGUCUCUUCAUUCUGCUAAUUGUUUCCUUUGCUGUGUAGCAUCUUUUUAAUUUGAGGUAGUCCCAUUUGUUGAUUUUUAAUAUUAUUUCCUGUGCUUUGGAGUCCUGUUCAGAAAGUCCGCUAGUACCAAAGGCUCAGUUCCAAGAUUUCUGGUCUUAUAGCUAGGUCUUUGGUCCAUUUUGAUCUGAUUUUCAUACAGGGUGACAGACUAAUCAGACUAAAGGGCUAAUCAGUAUUGUGUGCCUGAAGCAGCACCUUAGCUCGGAGAUGCUGAAACCCAGAGAUAAACAAACAGCAAACAAAUAAAUCAACCUUCUACUGAGAGUUGCUUAGAUUAACUGGGUCUGGAACUCAGUGUUUAUUCAUUUCUGUAAGAGUCCUGUGCGUUCAUAGAAUAAAUAUUUUAUGAUCCAUAGCAUAUGCUCAGACCACAAAUUAGAGUAACACAUGGAUGUUUAAACUAAAUGUAAAUAUAGUUAUGUACAAGGUUUUCCAAGAAUAAGCAUCCACAUGGUUUUUAAGGAGCAUAAAUGAUUUGUGUUUAUAUAUCUGAAAUGUCCUUUCCUCUUUAGAGCUGGAUUCUUAUUCACAGCCUCACUUUCCUGUCUUUCUUAGCGACAUUUGACAUAUUUUGACAUGCUUAGUUGUACUGUGGGAGCUGCCGUGUCUCCCAGACAAACACAGCCACGCUGUGUUCCACAGUGUAGGACCAGUGUCACUCAAGACUGGCCUGCUCGUGAGGGUCAGUAGAAGAAACAGUGCAGAGAGACAGGAUGAGCCACUCUGUGCGCCGGCUGGACUCAUCCUUCUCUGAGGACCAGAGGAGUGGUCUUAUCCGAGUCACAUGCCCAGUGUGAACUGGACCAUCAGUCCUUCCACUCCACCGUGUGCCAAGCAGAGGUGAAAAGCAGAUGCUUCUGCGUGAAGGCAGUUGUACCUCGGCUUGCUUUCCUCAAUUCUUGACCAGCUGCAGCAGCAUUUUCUAUGCACACCCUUCAAGCAAAACAGUUAUAAGAAUUUGAUCCUAAUGUGGCAUUUGCCAAUCUAAGCAACAGUUUCUUCCUAAUAGAUACAUCUUUAGAAAAAAGUAAUUUUCUGUACAAAGUAUGUUUUUUGCUACCAGAACCACUGCUCAGAGAUAAUUGUAUAAUAGUAGAGAAUAUAGAAUUUGAAAUUAAAUAGCCUGGUUUGGGUAGUGGCUUCUCACCUUGAAAGUGGCAUAGGAAUCACAAAUGAAACAAAACAGGAGAUGGUGUUUGUUGUGAGCCUGAAGAGAGGCACUAAUGAGCAGCUGGGGAAAGAGUGGUGUGCACAAAAAUAUUUUUACGACUACAGUGCGUCUCCCAAAUUUCAUGUAUUGGAAAGGACCAGCUGGGUGUUAAUGGUGUUUGAAGGUGAGAUUGCUGAGAGAUGCCUGCAUCGUGAAGCACUGCUCUCAUGCACAGAGCAACCUACUCAUGGGCUAAUGGACAAGUGUGGUAUUGAGGGUGUGGUCUGCUGUGAAAGGCGUGCUGUCUGUGCACCUGUGCUGUCCCACUACCUGGUGUCCUCCACCCAGCGCCGGCCCAGCAGGGAGGGUCUCCCCUGCCAGGCCUGACCACGUGCCGGCAUGGUGCUCUUGAACUUCCCAGGCUCAGAAUUGUGAGCUAAAUAAGCCGCUGGGUCCAUAAAUUACCCAGUCUCCGGGGUUCUGUUACAGCAACAGAAGAUAGACUGAGACAUGUAUGAGGUGUAAAAAUGCUAGUAAGGAAGAAAAAACAGGUUAGGACUAGAUGUGAGAAAGUUCUAGACAUUAUGUUAAGAAGAUUGGGACUCAGUGGUAGGGCAGAGGAAGUCUUAGGGUUUCCAAGUAUUUUCCGAGGAUGAUCCUGUCAGUAUCAAUGUGAGUGUUGGUCUGAGGAGACAAACAGGAGGCAGGGAGACUCACCCAAGGACUGGGUCCAUGGUCCACCUGGGGGUGUACGGAGGAAGGAACAUGGGGAGUGAAGGUCCCUGGAGCUCCCCGUGACUGCCCGAGACAGCGGAGUGGCUGCAGGUAGCAGGGCCAGGGCAGAGACGACAAGCGAAGAUUCUAAGGUCACUUCUUGGUCUUUGAUCAGGGAGAUCCGAACGGCAGUGUGAGUGGAAAGUAUGAUUAGAAAACAAGAAACCUUGCAGAUUUAGGGAGAAAGAUAAAUAAGAAAAGUUUGUUGUAAAUGAAGUGUUUGAAUUCUCCCCCUCUGUAAGUGGGAUGGGAAGGGUUCUCCCCUGCCCUUCAUUCCCAUCGGUGUCAGGAAGAGGUGGUCAGCAUUGUCUUGUGGACUUGCUGUGGGUCCCAGCCACAUUCUGUGAGAUCAUGUGGUUCUCGGGGGCUCUUUGGAGCUGCAAGAGCUUUCUGCGGAUGCUGGCUGACUUCAGAGUCAGCUUCUACAAGUGAGUUUUGAAGCCAGAGAUUUUUACACAUUGAAAAAGUGAGAGGAAAACAACUUCCCACUUUGGAGAAUGUAAUGAGGAAGCUGGAAUGUUUCCAGCUAACAGCAUUUUAUGGACUUGCUCAGAGUGAAUACAGAGUGAAGUGGUGGACAGCAAGCACGUGGAUCACGGGAGAGGCCUGUUCAGGGAGCCGACCAGUAUGAGCCCUGUUUGUUAUUCAGAAGGGCAAGGAUGGGCGUGGAACUAAAGCCGGUACAGACCUACUCUGGCUUCUGAGGUUUAUUUGAACAUUCACACAAAACAGUUACAGAACAUCUGCAUAUGUUGGACUCACUGCGGGUCCUAGGACAUGGAUACACACAGCUUGAAACUUUAGAGAAUUCCUACUUUAGUCGGGGAGGGAGGCUCCUCUACCUUGAGUUAGAGCACCAUUUGGCGACCUGGGACUACAGACAUGCAUGUGGACCUUGCUUCCUCUGCUGUCAUUCUAUGGGCAUCACUGUGUGAGAGGUGCUGAGCACUUCCAUUCCACGGGGCUUUGUCUGGGUUGUGGAACAAUCGAAAACACCUAGAGCAUUUGUUCACCUACAGUGUGUGUCUCUUUGCAUAUGAUCCUGCAAAGAAUGCUCUUACAUUUGAGUGUCUAAGACACAGAGAGGGUAGAUGGUGUUCCCCAGGUCACAACAGUGAGCAGGAAAACCUAGAGGUGGCAUAGUAUCUGGCUCCAAGGUCCAGCUACUGUACUUUUUCCCUUUAUUGCAUUGUUGGGAGACAUUGCCCAAGCGUUGUGCUCCCUGACCAUGCUGCAGGAGUGGGUCUAGGUCCCCAAAUGGGCGAAGAUCUGCUCAGACAUCUCCUGUGUACCCCCUUCUGUGCUCUCAUGUCCACACUGGUGGGCCACAGUUGUCUUCACACUUGGUCCUAAUUAGGCAGUGGACUUCCAUAACCUGCCAGGCCUGGUCUCCUCUGAGACUCCCAGGACCAUGUGUGGAAGCAAAUUCUGCCUGGAGGGGUCACUAGGUGAAGAGGACACUCAGAAACAGGCUCACAAACACCCUCCCUGCUUGGCUGACUGUUCGUAUCUUUUGGGAGGCUUGCUGUGAUAGAGCAGAACAUCUUUCCCUGUGUCCUGCCCUGAGAUGCUUCAUUGGCUCAGGUUUAGGAGGAACUGCUGGAAACUGAAGGAUCCAGGAUGCAUUCACUGCCAUAGUAAAAUUGAGGCCUCAGUAGUUUGGAUCCAAAGCCCAGCUCCUCUCUCUGAAUUUCCUCCUUCCACUGUGAUGGUUCCUCCUUGUCCUCACUGCUUCUCACAGACUCAUGAUCUCCUUCCCCAUCCAGGCCCAAUUCUGCUUUUCACAGACAUGUUUGCAGGCAUUUUACAGUGUGGUGCAGAGAAAGAGCAUCAGCUUGGAGGUGGACAGGGUUGGACUUAUGGUAUCAUUAGAUGAGAAAUUAAAUCUCCCUGAGCCUAAUUUCCUCUCCUGUAGAAUGGGGUCAUGAUACUUGUCUUAAGGAAUAUGGUGCAAUUUAAUAAGAUUAGGCUGGUAAAUUGCCUGGUGCAUUCUUGGGAUAUUACAAUUCAUCUGUAGAUGACAAUUUACCAUGAAUUAGUAAGCAAUUGAAUUAUUGUUCACAUUAUAUAUUCAGGAUUGCUUUUCAUCUAGGCAAGGAAUAUUUUGUUCUCAGGAGGGUUAUUUUCAAUGCCACAGAAAGGCCCGGGAACAAAUGAAGCAGAGUGACUUUGCCUCUGGCUCCUGAACUGCACAGGUAUUGAAGUACUCAGAUCCUCCUGUACCGAGUCCACACCCUGAAGUACGUGAUGCUCAGUUUCUGCAUAGCCUGAGGACCUUGCUGCUUUCUGGCUCCUUCUGUUUUCUUCUUUAGGUCCCUUGGCAGCAAGGUUGUGUCUUGCUCUCUGCUUCUCUUCUGAUAGGAAUCAGGAACAGAAAGAAGAACAGAGAGGGCCAGAAAAGUUGCUCUUUAAAUAUUUCAUUACAAUCAUGUGACUAUUAAAGAGUCUGACAUCUCGAGUUGAGUCAUUUGAAAGCAAAGGGACAAUUAACAAUCAGUUCAUUCUACUCUUCAUUCAUACAACAGCUUUUCUUGGGAGCCUUUUAGUGUCAAGCACUAACCAGACUGGGAUAGAGGUCUCCGUCUCUGAGAAGUUCAUAGUCUGUUGCAGGAGACAGAAAGGUAGAAAGGCAUUUGCAACACAUUCCAGUUAAAGUUAUGCUCAGCCUGCCGAUGAAUGUGGUGCAGACAACAUUCUAAAUUCUAGCUCAGACUUUCCUGGGGAGGGGAGACCCAUGGCAAGACGAAAGGGAUCUGGCCCUGCAGUCGCUGGCUGUACCAUUACAGGGACAGCACUGAAAAGCUCAUGGUGGCUGGAUGAGCGUGAGUGUCUUGGGUUCCAGUCUGUUGAGGAAUGACAAGCUCUGAAGCCAGAGAGUGAGCAAGGCUGAUUUCACCAGGUUGUGUGCCACCAGCAAGUUGUUUAUUCUGCAUAUGGUGGGAAGCUCUAGAUGGAUUUUAAUUAAUGUUUCCAUUCUCUCUUUGUUCCUUUCUUUACCAAAAGUGUUGAGCAAAUGUUUUAUAUAGAUCUGACUUAGAGGUUAAGGACAAGACUAUUUAGGCUGCUGGGGCUCGAAUUCUGUGUUUACUAAGUGCGAGCUCUGCAGUCAUGGAUUGGUUUUGUAAAUCCCUUAUUGCUUCAGUUUCCUCAGUUGUACAUUGGAAAUAACAGCAGUGCUCACUUCACAGAAUCACAAUUUUAGGUAAUAUACAGAAAGCAUUCAAAAUAGGCCUGGACUCAGGGUAAACAUUUACUUCUGCCAGGUCACACAUCUGAGAGGUUCUGGCGACCACACAGGGACAGGCUCCACCCUUGCCGUCCUUGAGCAGGGAUUCAUGGAAGGAGGGAGAUACUGCUGUGUGACUGAAGCAGGACUUGAAAAUGAAGCAAGUUUUCCCAAACUAAGCAAUAUGGCUGUGCUCUUUGUUCUAAUACUGAUAAAAUCAAUAACUUUGUGCCUGUGAGUGAAGUUUUAUAAUCUGUCCUUGUGACAUCCUGUUUUGACCAACCAAGGACACUGGGAUAUGUUAACUUGCAAAACAGUCACAGAUUGACAAAUUGCCUUUGUUCUGCUUGCCCACCUGCAAGUUACAUGCCACCAAGUAGACCAGCCCCUCGGCAGCAGGUAUAAAACUGGAGCUCUACCUUUGUCCUGGGCUCAGCCUUUGGACACAAGUCUACUGAGCCAGAGCACACCUAAAUCUGGAAUAAACCCUCCUGUUUCACCUGUUGGUCUCCCGGGGCUCUUAAAAUUCUUCAACAUAGCAGCCGUGCCAGUGCUAUGGGUUGUACACCAUGGUUAGGAGACACUUCAAGCUUACAUUUGAACAGAGAGAACUGCUCAAAUCUAAUCUCCUGUUGUUUUCAAAAGGAACAGGGAAGCUUUCAGAAAGAAGUGUUGUCUGUCUGGAACUGAGGUGAGUAUAAAUUAGCCAGAAAAAUAGGGCAGGAUAGAAGGCCAGGGGAAGUCAUGGUAAGGUGUGCACUUUGGAAUGCUCCUCUGGGAACAUGUGUGGGGAGCCCCAGAAGGAAGGAGUCCAUAUCAGGGAGUACCCUUCAGAGCCUCUUGUAUGGACUGGUAUGGCUCAUGGAGCAGAUGGUUAGAGGCUGUCAUCCCUCUUACACAGGUAAAAGAGACAAAUUCCAGUGGCUUCUCAUAGUUCUGUCAGGAACUAAGCCAGGAUUAGACUUGACCUAUCUUCAUUAUUGCCCAUUGAGUCUUACAUCCCCUAGAGGGAUUCCAGCUCUAUGCGUUUCAUAGCAGAAUCGCUCAGACUCACACAAUCAUGGUAACCAUGCACAGGAAGACCUGCCACUUGAAUAUCUUUCCUUUGCAUGCUCUCGGCAUGUGCUCUAUGCACAGUCUGUUCCACAGACCACCUCAGAUAGCUCAGGCUAUGUUGAAAGUCCAACAAAGGAGAAGAGGAUACACUGGAGGUCAGAGGACUCCAUGUUUGGACAGGGAGUGUGAUUUCAUGUCUUGGAAUGUUUCUUUUCUUAUUAACCAAGUUUUCUACUUACCUUUCUUAGCAUCAUCUCUGGUGUCAAGGUUUGGGUUGUUGGCUGGGCUCCAAGGAUGAUGUGAUGCAGUGGUCAAUAAAAACCACGCAUGUCACUCUGAAUGUGCAUUAAAGGGAGAAAGGUAAAGAUGAAUGCACCCAUCUGCAGAUGAGCACAGCUGUCCUGUCAGCCUCGGAGGCCCUGGAGCAGGCUUUCUGUGGUGCUUCUACUGAACCAUCUGCCUGCUUGCAGGAUGAUCCUGCUCCACACAUGCACAGGAGAUGCCUCAGGGGAGGCCCCGCUGUGGGUGAGGGCCAGUGGGCAGCUGGGGCAGUGGGCCACCAUGCCGUCCGGCCAGUCUCCCACCGACCAUCAGGAUCAAUCUGUCAGUGCCAGCAGCUCUGAUGCUCUUGCGGCACUGAAUGGCAUCGUGUUAGGGACAGGUCUCCUUACUCAUUUGAAACCAGCAUGUGGUGUCUCUGGCUUCGGGUCAGCAGAUCAGAGCUUUUGAAAAUUACUAUUAUAUUGCUCUCCAUAUACAAAUGCUAUGGUUACCAUUGUCUAUUGCUCUGUCUCAUAACUGUCAGCUGUUAUCUCUCGAGUGGAGGUGGGUACUUAUCUUAGAAAUCUUUCCUAUCUGGUGGUGAUGGCAGAACCAGGCUCACUGCAAGGUACAGAAGGGCCCGGCUUGAGAUUCAAGAGAUGAGCUUUAAUUUCCAUGUCUGACAGAGCCCUUCAAUAAGCAUUUAUUUAUUGCAGACCUACUAUGUGCCAGGCAACCUGUUCAUCUCCAAAUGGGGAUACAGAUGUGAAUAUCAAAGACUCCUGUCCUCAGGGAGGUCACAGUUUAGUGGAAGAAGCAGACAGGUGAAGAGCUACCGAAGUAAAAGUAGUGAUGGAGCCCAGGGUUCCGUGGAAACCUGAAGAGCAGCCCUGUACUCAGAGUGGAGGGAAGGGAGUGGGAAUUUCUGCAGGAGAUGCUGCACAGCCCAGGCUUGGAGAAAGAGUAAGCUUUCCUGGGCAAAGCAGGUAUGAGGGUGAUACAGAGGAGGCAAUGUAGUCCAAAGUGGGAGAAUAGGGGAAAACCCAGGAAAGUCGGAAAGGAGCUCAGCAUUUCUGAAGACCAGAGUGUAUACAGUGUGGUGAAAGAGGAGGCCAAAGAAGAGGGAGUGCAUUUGCCACACUUGAAGGCUGGGGCUUUAUCGGGAAGGCAGCUGAGAUCACAUAGUCAUGUGAAACAGGAGUGGGAUGAUUGCAUCUGCAUUUAGGAACACCCCUGGAACUGAUCAGAGGCCCACUGUCGUAGAGGCAUGAAGGGCAUCUGGAAUGUUAUCAUCUUUGGGCCUGGACUUCAGCAGAAACAGAAAGAUAAAGUCGAUUAUAAUGAUUCAAAGGCAUUUAGUCUUAGUUGAUAGAACCAAUGGGAUUCCAUGGCUUAUUAUACAAAAAGGGUAAGGAAAAGGAGAAAAUGAGGACAUACAGGUCUCCAAAGACUUGAUCUGCAGCAAGGUGAGGAGAGUGGUUCUGAGUAAAACUCAGCAGAGUUUGAGUAGAAAACAGAAGAGGAUCAGAGGAGGAAAGGAGUGGAGAAGCUUGUGGAGGAAGAGGAAGAAGGGAAUGAGUAGGUUAGGCCUGGAGAAAACAUGAGUUGCAUUUUGUACAUUCUUACGGUACAGAUCCAAAGUGACCCUCAAAGCCUCAUGAGUUUGGAAAGUGGAUGGAUCACAGGAGCACUGUAUUCACCAGCAGAUUCACCCAUUAACAGACAUGAAAACAGUUUGUGAUGUAUUCAGAGUGGUUCAACAACGCUCCUUGUGAGAUAAUAAAACUCUCCAUUGACAGCACUGUUCAUGCAAAGGCUGAUAACUAUCUACAGUGGAAAUGGGAGAACAGUGACCUCUGAACUUUGAUUGACCCAAACUACUUGCGAUCUUCAAUGAAAAGUGCAAAUUCCAAAACACCACUCUUCAGACUUUGGGCCAAUAACCUCAGAAAACUGCCACUGGGCUAUGUCUAAAGAAGCCCUGGAAGCAGGACUCCCACCAAGGCCCCUCACUACAGAGCUACCCAUGGACAUCACCAGCCAGGAGAGCUGCAGUCAUGAGAACUCUAAACCAAGAGAGAACCAGAGAAAGCAUGAUGGAUCAUCAGGAGUGAAUUUGAGGUCACCAACUGUAUGAAUAGGAAAAGCCCUGGCCAUCUGAUGGAUGUAUAAUGAAAUGCGGAUUCUAUAUGCUCUGGAUGAAAUGAUCCGAGAUGCUGAGGGGUACUUCAACUCAUAACCAUCUCAAAUGGGAUGUGGGGGGUGAGCAGGGUGGUCAGCACUGCCGAACAGAGUGGACACGGGCUCCCUACGGGGCCUGCGGUGGAGUUCUGCUGACUCAGACACGGACGAAGAUCUUCAGGGUAUGCACACGUAGUGCCACCUCAUUAUGUUUCAUGCGCCAGGAUUUUAUUUUUUAUUGUCCUUUUAGUUGUAGUGUAUGUGCAGUUUUUCUUUAUUAUAGUAUAUGUUCUUUGCAGUCAUAAUGACACGGUUAAUUUUAUGUAUCCUUCACAAUUUUAAUAUAAUCAUAUCAAGACUCAAUGGCUUAUUUAAAAUGGAUGAAUCAUUCUUGCUUUGUAGAGUAUUUUUGUGGUUCAAAUGACCCAGAAGUGGGGAACAGCUCAAUGCUCAGGAGUUCAGAGAGUAAACUUACUAUUGUUGUGCUAUUAGCAGCUAAGUGUUGAGAGCUUAUCCUCUUCAUUUAGUCCUCCUUAAUUAGCUAACUAGUUAGUAGAAAUUAGGGAGGCAUAAACCCAAAGCACACGCCUCCAUUAGCAAUGUCCAUGUUUUCUCCCUACUCGCUACUACUGUAAGCACUGGUGGUAUCUCACCUGCAAGGCCUUUUUUAAAACCUCCUCCCAAAGAGAUUUUUCCCCUUGGUUUGAAUCACUGGAAUAUUUGAGCAUUCUGAUAUUAUUUUUUGAUGAGUAUGAUGUUUCUGAAGUGGAUGAAGCUUCCUUUAAAGCAGUUUAAGUAUGGCUCUUCCACCUUACCCUACCCUCCUGGGCAGUAAGACCACACAAUGGUCUUUUGAUUAUCAGUUGAUAUUCCUUGGAAUCUUUUCACUGAAUUGCUUCUCCUCUAUCUAUUUGAAACUUAGUGUGUACUAAAAUGACUGCCAUGGAAAGCAGCAGGUUUAGUAGUGGAAUACUGUAACUCACUUCAUUUCGACUUUGACUCAUCCAUCAUAAAACAUUUAUUCCUAUCUUUCUCUAGUAUUUUGAAACAAUGGCAACAGUAUGUUAUUGCCCAGUCUUGAGUCUCACAGGAGAAUGUCUUGCUCAUUUAAGAUAAUGAAAUUCUGCACAGGGACUGGUCCAGUCUCAGGAAAAAUGAUCUAUGUUUCACCUGCUCAGUUUUUGUUUGAUAGCAGAACAUUCAACUAUCCAGUACUCUCCCAACAGCUAGAAAAUGCAGAGAGGGCAUUUUCCACUAACUCUUCCCUGGGGCCAGUAUCUGUAAGUAGAAAGGAGAAAGUAAAAGAUACGCCAGGUUCUAAUGGUACGGUUUCCCCUUACAGAAGUCUGAAUAAGGACUGUGGCAUAUAGAUGAUUCAGCUGAUGUU